ensembl:lncRNA
AUGUUGCAGAUACCAGUGAAGACUCUCAACAGAACCAGUGUAGUUACAAGAGAGUUUCACACUCUCAGUCUCAGUGGCAAAUGCUGCAUCACUGUAUGGGGUGAUGACAUCUUUAGCUCUGUUUACUACAACAAAACAAACCAACAAAAAAAUAUAUAUAAGGAUUGUUGGGCAUAUUUAAAAUGAGAAUGGUGUAAUGUAAUGAGUGAUACAGUAUGUAAGAUUUUACCUUGAGUUAAAGACAGCAGUAUAAGCACACAUGUGAACAUGAUGAACAGGCUGCUGCUCGCCUCAGUCAUCUGUGAUGCCAUUCACUGAAUGACUCUGUGUCCUACAGGCCUAUGUUAUGCUCCGCCUCUUAAAAUUAUUCAUCACAAAACCAGAAACCAGUGGAAUGAUUUUUUUCAUGUUUGGUUUAGUUUGAUUGAUCAAUGCUCUAUACUUCAAGCUAAAACAAUACUGUAAGAUACAUUGUUUAACCUAUUAGUUACAAUAACAUUUUUUCUCUUGAAAGAGCUAAAUUCACCAGCUAGGAAUCAAUCAGACUACUUUUGAAAUCAUAAACUUGUUUUUCAAGAUAGCAACCAAUAAAAACCUGGUCGGCUGAGAAAAAAAACAGUAGUUGAUGACAGACAAAUUAUAAAAAACUGUGAAAAUGAACCCUAAAUGUCUGUAAAAUCACCAACAACCUCCAGAAAGCUGGGGUGAUGCUCUGUCAAUCUACAGUCCAAAGGAUAAUUUGACAAAGAAUUACAGAAGCUACACAACAAGAUGCAAACCUCUGUUCAGCACCAAAAAUAGAAAGUCAAGAUUCUUUACAAAUGUGAGCCAGAGUUUUGGAACUGAGUUGAUGGACUGAUGAGACAAAGAUUAACCUUUAUCUACAGUAAGUGAUUGGAAAGCAAAACUGUGGAGAAAAAAGGGAACUGCAAAUGAUCCUAAGCAUACAAGCUCAUCUGUAAAGCUUGGUGGAGCUGGUGUCAUGGCAUGGGCAUGCAUGGCUGUCUCUAGAACAGGACUUCUUCAUUUUAAUGAUGACUUAAUUGUAUGAUGGCAGUAGCAGAAUUAAUUUGGAAGGGUACAAAAUCAGCUUUGCUACCCACAUUCAAGAAAAUACCACCAAACUCAUUAGAAAGCACUUCAUAUUGGAUCAGGACAAUGACCCAAAACACCCUGCCAGUUCAGUCAAGGACUUUAUCAGGGCAAGGAAAUGUAAAGUCUUAGUUUGCCCAAAUCAAUCUCCAGAUCUAAAUCCUCCAGCCUGCCAUUCCACUAGCUGAAGAGGAAACUAAAGACAGAAACUCCCCAAAACAAGCAACAGUUGUAACUGGAUGCAUUAAAGGCUGCGGAAAAGCAUUUCACAGCAUAAGAGCAAGAGUCUGGUGAUGUCUAUGGAUUGCAGACUCACUGCUCUAAUAGCAUGCAAGGGAUCUGCAACUAAAUAUUAGCUUUUAAUCUUUUAUAUCUGCCUUAAAUUUAACUGUUCCAAUUCUUGCUCACAUAAAAUAGUGGGAUGAACUCUAAAAGUGCUGUUCUUUUUAUUUGGUUAAACAUGUAGUGUCGAAAGUCCUAAUAAUAAAAUGUGACAUUCUGUAGUUUUGUCGCAUAUUCAUCCUUUAAUCAUAUUUGCUAAUGUCUUGACUCCACAGCAGAGAAAGCUAUUUUGUCUUUAUUGUUCCAAUACUUAUGGAGGACACUGUAUAUCUCUCCUGGUUUUAUUUUUGUACCCACUUCUUUUGGCACAAUGCCGUCAGCAAAUACACCUACAAAAAUGAAUUUUCCUUUAGAAUUACAGUAUAAUAGAAUGAUCAAAAUUACAAUGAAAGCUCCAGGCUUCAUGAUGCUUCAGACAUUAUUCUACAGUAAUAAGCUGAUUUGGCGC